UGAGAUCCGGAACAAAUAAAUGUACCGUUGAAAUUAAGUGCUGAAAUGAGUUGUUGGUUGUAUCCAUAAGCACAUAGGAAAUUCAAGUAAUCCUUAAUGCCUAGAUCAUAAACAAGUCCAGGAUCUAUUGCAAGGUCAGGUUGAACAUGCCCUGAACCAUAAGCAAAGGGAGUUGCUAGUUUUUUUUCAAAUGCAUCCUGAAUUGGCCUGUUUGUGUUAUCUAGUGUGGUUGCUGUAAGGAUAUAUAAUUAAGUUAGAAAUCUUGUCGUUAUUAGAGAGUAUAUGUAUUGUGUGUGUACGUGUGUGUACCUGUGGUCAUGAUAGCCGAUUUAAUAGCUGCUGGACUCCAAUUAGGAUGCUUUGUUUUGAGAAGUCCUGCAAUGCCGGCCACAUGAGGGCAAGACAUAGAAGUUCCUUGCAUAACAUUGAAUGGAAAUCCUUUGCGAUUGUCUGUUACUAAGUUGGAUGCACUUGCAAACAAUGAAUAGGCAGCAAGUAUGUUCACACCUGGUGCAGUUACAUCAGGCUGAAACAGAAAACAAAUUAAAAACCCCAUUGAAAAAAAUAAAGACAAAUAAGGAGAAUUAUACUAUAGGUAGUUGAUCACUAGUCAACUUGUAUAUAUAUACCUUGAGUAUUGAUGGCUGAAUCUUAUUUGGUCCUCUAGAUGAGAAUGAAGCCAUUACUGGAGCUGGCUUUCUUCCGUAGAAUGUUUUUGCUCCUGAAAACUUUAUUGUAGUACCCGACUUUAAUUUAGAGUCCCUGCAAUUAUAAAUAUACUAUGUAAAUGGUUGGAGCCUUUCAUCUGUAACAUGUCAACAAAUGAGUAACUUUAAAAGACUAUGUGUGUUUGUUUGAGUGAGGAAGAGUAAGACAUAUAUAUAAUCAAUUACAUGGAAGUUAUGUCAAAAGCAGGAGCAUGUGACCCUGCACGUUCUGGUGCAGCAGGAGGGUGGUACUUGCUUUCAGUUUGUGGCCUUGUAACACAAGACAAAACAUGAGGCUCAGCAAGACUAGUUUUCCCUUGUUGUGGUCGAUUGCUCAAAAGCAUUCCCUUUGCACCUGCUGUUAAAGCUGCCUGACCCUCAGCAACUGAUUUUAUAUUUCCUUCUCGAUCACAUCCCACUAUUUUGCCCUUCACUUUUGAAGGAUCAAGUGUUCCAGGCCUACAAAGUCGUCUGCAACAACAAAUACAUAUAAAAAUAAUGUAAGAAAUCCUUAUUUAAUUAAUAAGUACGUUAUUUUAAAGUAGAUCAUUUGAGUUAGACUUGUACUUACGCAUCACGAUUUGUUGCAUUGGCAAGUUUACCAUCCGUAGCAAGAAUUAGAGAAAAUGCCUGGUUUGGUGGCAAGUUUACAAAAAGACUGGCUCCCUAUAAUACAAAAUAGAGAUCAGUUAUUACAAAUUUAAUCAACAUAUAAGUUAAUUAAAACAACAAUAAGAAGAAGAAUCAGAAACAGGAUGACAUAUACCGUCACUUGUUGACUGUUACCAAAAGUUAUAGUACUACUGAAGUCUCUGUCUAAUGUACUAGCAGCAAUUGUGAAUACCCAUGGAGCUAUAUUCACAACGCUUCCUAGGGUUGGUCCGUCAUUCCCCGCAGAGGCAACUACUAAUAUGUUUCUAGAAAGUGCAUGGAAUGCACCUAUUGAAACCUCGUCUGUGAAAAUAUCUUCAGGAUGGACAAGAUAUUGGCCAGCAGCUGAAAGUGAGAUUAUAUCUACACCAUCACUAAUGGCUUGGUCAAUAGCAGCUAACACAUCGGCUCCAAAGCAGUCAGCAACAUCUGUUAGAGACCAGCACACUUUGUAUGUGGCAACUCUAGCUCUAGGCGAACCUCCUUUUACAGUACCAUUGCCAAUAGCAAAUAUACUUGCACCUGGAACAAAGUUUCCACCAGCCGUUGAUAAGGUAUGAGUACCGUGACCUACAAAGUCACGUGCGGUAAGUAGUGAUGGGUGGAGCUUGCCAUUAUAUGCCUCGAAAGCGUUGCUGAAGAAUCUGGCUCCAAUUAGCUUCCUGUUUAUACAUAGCGAGAUUAAUUAACCUGAUAGAGGAAGUAUGGGAGAGUAGUUGCCUACCUAUCUUCUGUUGGUUUAGUUGCCACUGGUGUUACUAGAAAUAUAUAAGCUUGUUAGUUCUCUAUUAGCAUUAUAUAUAGAUGAUCUCAUUUGCCAUAUUUUAAUCAAUAAAUGUAAUAUCUAAGAAGUUUUUAUUUCUGUUGUGGUUUGCAUCAGGUGUAUAAUGUUGAUGCAAUAUUGUAAUGAUGGGUUUGCAUACCAAAACCCCAAUAUUAUCUGAACUUGUGCUGCACACCUUGUGCUUAUAUUGAUGUCAACAUGUCAAGAUUAUAUAGAAAAAUGUUGUAAACAAGAUCAGGAGAAAAGAACCUGUUGCAAGGAUUUUUCUUCAAUUUUCCAAAUUUUCUAAUUUGACACGCAUUUCUCCCACGCCAUUUUGACGGAAUAGGUCCAAAUCCUUUAUCACUGAAGCUCUUGGAUUCCGGCCAAACACCUACUCAAUUUCAAGGGUGGAAACAAAGAUUUAAAAUUGUGGAUGUUAUUUUACAUACAAGUCUCAAUGUGCAGCAAAAGUUNNNNNNNNNNNNNNNNNNNNNNNNNNNNNNNNNNNNNNNNNNNNNNNNNNNNNNNNNNNNNNNNNNNNNNNNNUUUUAAUUGGCCUUUUUUUUUUUUUCUUUUCCUUUUAAUAAAUAAUUGGACUAGUUAAAUCUUAUGUACCUAACGUUAAUGACAAAAAUGCGUUGAUACGACACUAUUUUUUUCUUUUUAAAUAAUUUUCGGACGAAGUCACACAUUUAAGUGUGAAAAAGUGAAUUGUAUUCUCUAAUGUGACAAUGGAAGAAUGCUCACUUGCAAUAUAUGCUGCUUGUUCAUCUUCAAGUAACGCAGCAAAGCCAUUGAUGUGUUUGUUAUAUGAAUAAAUCAUUGCUUCUUUCGCUUUCUCCCGGCUGUAAAAGAAUGCACAUAAUUAAUAUAUCCAUCAAUCAAACACUUUUUUCUGUCUAAACUUUUAUCGGAGUGUAAUUUUUUUAACUUUAUAAAGUGAAAAGUGAAAGAAUGUUCACCUAACCAAAAAAAAAGAAUGUUCAAAAGUAUAAUAAAUAAUGAUUAUGAUAAAGUGUAUAAUAAAUCAUUGUACGAUGAAACUUUCUUUUUUUUACAUAAAUUUGUCGGUUAUCAUUAUGUAACAUGUUAUACUACUUUUUAGAGAAAAUAAUUUUUUGCAAACUUGAAUUACUUGUUGGAUGUAUUGUGGGUUGGCAAUAUUUCUAAACUUGUUCUUUAGUUUCUUCUAUUUUUCCUUCUUUUAUAACAGAAAACAAUUUUUUAUAGGCAUAUUUAUUUGCUAAUAUGUUAUGUUAGUAUUCAUGAUUUGAAUCUCACAUAGGUUAAUGUAUCUCGAUAUAAAAAAAUUAUAUUUAAUAAUUCAAAAUAUUUAAUAAUUAAAAGAUUAAGUGGAUACGUUUAAAAAAAAGUUUACAUACUAUAUUAUUAAUCUUCAAGGGGCUUCUUCAAAAAAAUUAAUUUUCAAGGGCACAUGUAGCCUUUAGGGCACAUGCUAAUAUCUUUUCAAGUGCAUUUUUAAGGUGUUUUUCGUAUGAUUUUUAACAUAAAAAACUAUGAUUUUCUCAAAGUUUGUUAUACUCACAAAAAGUGAAUUAUAUGUUAGAAUCAUACGAAAAACACAUCAACAAGUGUCCUGAAGUAAUGUUUAAUAUGACUUUUUUUAAUACUCAUAAUUUUUUUAAAGAUUCUUAUAAUAAGACAGACAGAAAACACAAAUAUAUUUGAAUACAUUUUUUAUUAUUUAAUUUGAUCUUUAUAUGUGAUUUUUAUUAGUUUGUUUGAUCAUCAAAUAUGUCAAAUUUUCUUUUGAAACUGGAAAUAAUAUAUUAACACAAUUAUUCAAAACACUAAACGUACUACGUAAAAAGUAUGACAACAUUACCAAAGUGAAAGUGAAAGCACAAAAAUGCUGAAUCCACAACAAACACCAAUGAACCCAAACCUAUCGCAAACAUCACGUGCCCAAAACCCAACCCCAAAAUAUGACUCACAGAUCACUAAAACUCGAUUUUACUAAAACUCGAUUUUUUUGGUUGAAACUUCAUAUACCAUCAUAACCAAAAAAAAUACUUAUACUCCAUAUAAUUUCCCUAUAAUUUAAUCUUUUGAUUAUUAAAAGAAAAAAAUAAAAAAGUCAUACCUAAUAGCCACAGAACCGAGACAAACACUUCAUAAGUGCCAUAAUAAUAUUUUUUUAUCAUAAAUAUCUGAUUUACUGGACCUAAUCUAAUUGAAGGUCAGUUCUGACAUUAAGUGAUUCUGAUCUCCACCCGAUUACAAUUGUGGGGAUUGAAUUGUGUUUCUUCCUACCAAAUCCAACGAUAAAUAAUCACCACUAAAUUAACUAAUAAUUAGUAGCCAUAAUGAUUUCUAAAUUUUUAGAAAAAACCAAAUACACGCCAACCAAAUAAAACCAAAUUUAAAAUGAGAAAUAUUUCCACUUACAAACACACUGCUAAUAUAUUACAAAUGUGUUUUUUUCUUUUCAAGUACUCCCUCCGGUCCUUAUUAUAAGGAACACUUUGGGAAAAAAAUNNNNNNNNNNNNNNNNNNNNNNNNNNNNNNNNNNNNNNNNNNNNNNNNNNNNNNNNNNNNNNNNNNNNNNNNNNNNNNNNNNNNNNNNNNNNNNNNNNNNNNNNNNNNNNNNNNNNNNNNNNNNNNNNNNNNNNNNNNNNNNNNNNNNNNNNNNNNNNNNNNNNNNNNAAACACACUGCUAAUAUAUUACAAAUGUGUUUUUUUCUUUUCAAGUAGCUUAGUAGCUAGAAAUUUCACCCUUAAAAUGGAUAAGUGAGAUAUAAUGACUAAAUUGAGCUAAGCUCACGGGACUACAAAUGUGUCUUUUAUUAGUGGGUUUAGAAGGUUUAUAUAUAGAGGAGUGAUCCGUUGACUCCAGAAGUAAGUCUCCAUUGAAUUUUUAUAAAAAUUUGUGGAGUUGAUCUACUCAAUAAGAUCUUUGAAUUCAACGGUUGGAUUGAAGAAAAUGCUGAUAUCGAGUUAUUAAGCGGAGUAAGUCAAUGAAGACUUACUCCUGAAGUCAACGGAUCUCUCCUCAUAUAUAUAAUAAUUACACAUGAACAAAAAUUACACGGACAACAAGUUCCGCCGCUAAUCAUUUUAGAAGAUUAUAAUUUUUUUUAGAAGAUGAAUUCAAAAUUUGAUUUGAUGUCCAAAUUCUUGUUAUUUUUAUCUUAAAUUUUUUACAUUUAAAAAAAUUUAUAUUUAAUUCCACCCAUCUUAAAAAAUGCUAAAUUUAGUAAAUGAACUCUGUAUAAUAUUUUAAACAUACAUGCAAAAAUUCAUUCAAAAACUUAAAGAGUUUAAGAAUGAAAUGAAACAAAUUUAGUUUUAACUAAAACUAAAACUACGUACAAUUUUUUUUGUUUGGACUAAAAAAAUCAUAAAAAUUAAGUAAUAGCUGAACCAAUAAAAUCUUUAUUCAUAGUGAUAAAAAAUAUAUUUACGAUAAAGUCAUAUAUAUAAUUUACACUAAGAAAGAAUAAAAAAACUAAAUAGUCAUAUGAUGCAUUGUAUACCUUCCCAAGGUUGAACUUAGUAAAUCAUAAUGAGAAUUGGUAGCAAUUUCAAGUUCAACAGAUGUAGGGUGAGGGCCAUGAGAAUGUGCUCCCAAGUAUACAAUGUAACACUGCACAACAAGAGCAACGGUUGGUGACAUGUCACAAAUGAUGGAAAUUUAGCAAAACAAUUGAUCAUAGUUUGAAAAAUAAUUGAAAUAUAUUGCAUACAGGCCUACCUUUUUGGUGCCAUUGACAGCUUCUAGCAAGAACAGGAAAAUGAAAAGUAAUGAAACAAUAAUGUGAAUAGAAGAUAGGGAACCACCCAUUUCUUUCUUAGUAUUUUUUUUGGUCUUCACUUCAAGAACUUCAUCUAGCUAGUACCCUACAUAUAUAGUCCUUCUCCCUCUCUUUUUGUGACUAAUUAAUUAAUAUCAUGUGUUGUUUCUUCGCAAUUGGUCCAUGGAAAAUUAGUGCUUAACAUAGCUUUUGCUUUUUGAAAUAAUAUGGGAGACAUCUAAACUUUAGCAUAUAAUCUUUUGCUUUUGAGUCUAUGAUUUUGGCAAAAGCGUUAUCUAUAUGAAAAUAAAAUAUUACCAACAGUUGUCUUUGACUAAUAUUUUAAGAAAAUAUUUUAGGGAAUGCAAACUGUAUCGGACUGAAUACUGGAGUCCUAUUCUCCUAGGCCCAAUACCACCUAAGUCGGUCACUCGCCUAUGGGCUAAGUGAUCCGCAGGGGGUAACCAUACCUCCUAACCCUAAGGGGUUAAGGGUCGAGAAGAUCGCCACAUGGGAUAUACAUUCCCUGAAAGACGAAGCCGUUAGCUCCGGAUCGUGGGACGAGGACUUCUCGCCCUAUAUUGUUACGCCAAGCCCUAUAUAUAGACCCCUAAUUUAUCUUAUAGAUCAUCAAAUUCUACAUACUUAUCUAACAUCCCUAUUGAUCAUAUGCUCGCCAAUUCUGUGUAUUAGUAAUAAGAAGUUUGUUAAGGGUGUUCUUAAUAUGAUGAUUUGGAUUGGAAAAAGAAGAAAUAAUUAUUUAUUUCGGCAAAAGUUUAUUUCCAUAUAUUGAUGACAUUAUUUGGUAGUGGAUUAACUCAAAGCUUUUGAAUUUUAGUUAUGAUUUUCAUUUUUCAACAUUAGAGGACGAAUCCUCUCCAUCCUUUCAGUUUUCAAUAUUUGCUCUUGGAAUUGGAGUGCUCUGUGUUGUCUGGUGGUUAUUGCUGUAGCCAUCAUCAGCAUUGUUAAUACCAUUUGGUUUUGCAUAAACAACCUCAAAUUCAAGAACAUUAGGCCUAAUAGAAAUAGGCAUGGUGAGAACAUUGGUUGUUUCGCAAUGAAUCUUGGAAUCGCAAAUGCUCUGUUUGCUGUAAUCAUAUGAGUCAUCUUAACUAUUGAGUGUGCAGUUGAAAGGAAUUGGCAUCAUUUGUGGAUUGAGAGACUGACUACAAGCUUGCUAUAUUGGCCAUCAAAUCUCCUCACAUAGUCCUAGGCAGUUGAGGAGUCCUUGGUCAAAUUGCCUCUCUAAAUUGAAUUCUAUGUAGUAUGUACUUUAUUAUUUCGCAUAUUUUUAAAAGGUAACCAUUGUGUAGAUAAGUUGGUUUCUAUUGGCCUAACUCCAUGUGUCGGAGUUUACUUGGUGGACUUCUGCUCUUUUGACCAUCAAAGAAGACCUUGUGUAAAAUAAGCUCGGUCUACUUUUUUUUAUAGAUUUUAUUAGUCUUUUGAGGGUAUGGUUUGGUCCCUCCUUACUCUACUCUUCUUUUAUCUCUCUCUCUCUAUAUAUAUAUAAUUGGAGUUAAAAUAAAAUAAAUAUCUUUUUUAUGACGUGUUUGACUGUUUGUAUCUUGUAAUUAACUGUGUUAUAUAUGUUAGCAUGUCUUGCUAAGCUAACUUUUUGUUAAUAGUAAUAUAUUUUAGCUUUUAAACACAAAACAUUUGUUCUAUAUGCUCUACAACGUUCCUCUCACAGCACAGCCUCUUUUCUUUCGAGACAUUUUGCUUUGUACCUUAUCUUGACAUAAAACUUUUUGAUUCUUAAGUGGCAUUAAAAUUCUAAUUCUUUUUUCUUUGAAGAAACAAUCAACUUUAUAUCUUAAAAGAACCCUCCUUAUCAUCGUAAAUAAGAUUCUAUUUAAAUAAGGGUUAUGUUAACGUGUGUCCUAAGGGCAUAUGAUAAGGUAUCCUAGCUAAUAUAGAAAUACUGUAUUUAAUAAUGUAAGAAAUUUAAUGCAUAAAAGUAAAAAUACACAAGUUCUCAGAAAUAAUUUCUAUAUUUGCUUCCUUAACAUGUGUCUUUAAGGGCACAAGUUAACAUUCUCCUUUAAAUAAUUGUAUGUUCUUUUUAUAUACAGUACCGUAGUGUUCAGAGACAUUUGUUAGGAAUUCAAAUUAGAAAUAUUUUCUUAAAAAUUAUGUAUUCAAUACUUCAAAAAUUUAAAUUUUAGUUUUUUUUUAAUAUAUAAAGUUUCUUUUAUUUUUGUUUAGUUCCUUAACAAGUUUCUUUUAAUUUUAAAACAUAUUUUAUAUGAUAAAUCCGUGAAUUACUUUUUUAUCCUAUCCUGUUGGUGUUUAACCCAACUCAAAUUCAAGAUAAAAAUUUGAACUACAAAAACAGAAUAAAAUAAGUUUCAAAAUUAACUUAUCGCAUUUUAUUGUCUCAUCAAACACAUAAUUGAGACAAGAUAUGAUAAAAUUAUUAUAUCAUGUCUUUUAUCUUUGACCAGCAAACUUAACCUUAAAAAAUAAUGAAGGUUUCUAAAUGCAAAACACAAACAAAUGAUAAGCUACACCUGGAGGAGUAUUACUCAGCCAGUUGGGUUUUACAAAAAGGAUGUUAUUGGACAAUAGGGUCUGGUCAUGACAUUAACAUCUGGGAUGACAAAUGAAUACAGCAAAAAGCUACUGAUUAUAAGGUAAACCCUAGGCCUAAUGAUUUGAACCUUACCAAAGUAAAGGAGCUCAUGGAUAAUAACUAUCAUGAAUGGAAUGAAACUAUUAUAAACCAAAUUUUCCACCCUUAUGAUGCUCAAAUGAUUCUAAAUAUCCCUAUCAUUGACAAAACUCAACCAGACACAAUUACAUGGGAAGAUACACAGGAUGGGCAAUAUUCAGUAAAGUCGGGCUAUCAUGCUAUCAUGAAUUGGGGUUGUCUGUCAAAUGCUACUUCUUCCACUAACACUCAACAUAUCUGGAGCACUCUUUGGAAGCUAAAUGUGCCCCCUAAGCACAAUCACCUACUUUGGAGAGCUCUAAAAAAUGCCUUACCAGUGAAGGGCAAUUUAUUCAAGAGAGGGGUCAGAUAUGAACCCUUAUGCCCUCGAUGCUCAAAUACUACAGAAACAAUCAAUCAUGUGUUCUUAGAAUGUGAAUGGGCAAAACAAGUAUGGUUUGCCUCAUCUUUGAAUCUAAACUUAGGGCUCAAUCAAAUAACUGAAUUCUUCGACUGGAUCAAUUUUAUGAAAAACAACACAGAUAAAGAAUGUAUGGAGAAGAUUACAGCUAUCACCUAUGGAAAAUGGUACGCUAGAAACAUGCUAGUUUUUCAGAAUAAGUACUUACCUCCUCAAGACAUCAGCUCCACUGCGUUGAACCAGAUCCAGGAAUACCAGUUCCAUGGCUUUGAGCAGCAAAUCCAAAAUCCUUGCGUGAGAACAAAAGGUUGCAAUAACGAUAUAAGCUGGAGUCCACCACUUAGGGGCACCCUGAAGAUCAAUGUGGAUGCUCACCUAAGCAGUGAUGGCCAUUGGUUAACAGGGUUGGUUCUAAGGAGGUCGGAUGGGAGCGCCAUCAGAGUUGCAACUAGGGCUCAUAAAGGGACUACGGAUGUAAUAACAGGUGAAGCUUUUGGUUUAAUGGAUGCAAUUGAAUGGAUCGAAAGGAUGGGGGAAAGGAAGGUGAUAUUUGAACUCGACUCGCAAAUUGUGGUAAACGCUGUCAAAGAUAAGAACGUGAUUCGCAAGAGCUGGGGAUGCAUCAUUCGUCGCUGCAAAACGUUCCUCCAGAAUAACCCUAACUCAACGAUUGAAUGGGUUCCAAGGGAAGCGAAUCAAGCCGCUCAUGAAAUGGCAAAAUGGGCCGAAUCAGAACCCAACAAAGAAUGGACAGAUAACAUUCCACCUUGUAUUUGGCCCUUUAUCCAAAAAGAUAAAGGCAAUAUUACUCCUGUUUCAGAUUGUGUUUAAUAAAGUUUUUUCCCCUUCAAAAAAACAAAAAAAACCUUAAAAAACAAAGGGCUACAUAGAAGUGAUGAGAUGAGAUAAAUUUGUUUCCUUAAAGAAAAUAAAGUGAUAGUUAUUUAUUUAAUUUAUUUUUGGGUCAUGCUAGACUAUGCCCGAGACAAUUGUUAAGAAAAUAAAAAAUGAAACGAAAAUAAAAUAAAAGUUUUAAGUGAAAUAAUUCAUAUUUAAAAUUUUAAGACAUUAAAUACACUACUUUCAAGAUUAUAUUACUAUUUAAAUUUUCUUAACUAUUGUCUGCAAUACUAGCUAUGUUGGUUUUUUCUAAUUUACUCUUGAUAGUUUGUGGAUAUUUACCAUCAAUAAACUAUAUGCAUGUGAAAUAAAAAUUGAUUAUAAGUUAAUUGUAAGUUGGUGAUAAAUUAAUUGUGCAUACCAUAUACAAAAUCUACUUAUGAGUGUGUUAUCAAAGAGUACACAUUUCCCUUUAUUCUUUGCCGAAGAAACGAUGGAUUUUAAAUCUUUAAUUGAAUAAUGAGAAAAUGGAGUCGUUUAGCUUCUUUUGUGUUCACUCAGGAAACAUUUCUCAGGUUUUUCUUUUGCCCCAUUCUUGUUUCCUUUCAAGAUAGUGUUGUACAGUAUUAGCCAUAUUCUAUAUAUAGAUUCAAUUAAAGCAAACAUUCUUCUUUAGGAGGAAACAUUUGGUUUCGUAAAAUCAAAAAAUUUGGUCACGAAGAUUCUCAGGGGCCAAACCUAUGAUCAGUUUAGUGAGGUACAAAACUACUAGUUUGUUAGAUUAGUUAACCAACUAACCAAGGGAACACUUGGAUUGGAAGUAAUUAGUACAAAUGUUGAACAUUUCAUGUUCUUCUGCAAUGAAACACAAACACUCUUCGGAUUAGGCGUGGGCAUGUCCCAGUGUCGGACAUGCAUCAGUGUCCGACACCUACACUUAUCAUUACGCUGAAUAAUGUCAUUUUCUUAAAUUAUUAUCAUUGUUGACGUAUCAGUCCGUGUCGUGUCAGGUGUCCGUGUCUGUGCUACAUAUUCUUCUGUACAUAAACAUAAGAUACACCUUAGUUUAACACAACUAGGAUGAUCUUGGUUUAUAGAUGGAGGUAUUUUUUUACCAUCUGCAAAUGAUAAUAAGCUAAAGAUUUUGCACUUCCACUUAUUGACAUUGAUUAGAAAACACUUAAUAUUACAAUACAUAGACAACCAAAGAAGGAUAAAAUAACAAAAAGCACACAACCUAUUAACAUUAAAUCCUAACACUCAAAUGCAUCCACACAGUAAUAUCCUGACUGAACGAAAAGAGAUUGUUUAGUUGCGCUUAACUGUGAUAGGACUCCUUACAAUGUGUUUUCCGUCUGUCCAUUGCAAAUCCCCAAAUUGGUAUUUCUUCAGUGGAGUCACAUUUGUUGCCUGCACAAUUACUUGAAAUGUCUUCUUUUCACCAAUUUUCUUGAAAGUCAAGGAGUUUGGUACCACGGAAAUUUUAUAUCCAGGCAAUUGGGCUUUUGCUACAUAUGUGCUUGGUGACCCAACAUUGGUGACUGUCCUAGUGACAUUAACGACAUUUAACCCAAGAUUCGGUAACGUGAUUGAAGGGUAGUUAAAGUCUUCUAUGCUGUGAGAUCCGGAACAAACAAAUGUACUGUUGAAAUUAAGUGCUGAAAUGAGUUGUUGGUCGUAUCCAUAAGCACAUAGGAAAUUCAAGUAAUCCUUAAUGCCUAGAUCAUAAACAAGUCCAGGAUCUAUUGCAAGGUCAGGUUGAACAUGCCCUGAACCAUAAGCAAAGGGAGUUGCUAGUUUUUUUUCAAAUGCAUCCUGAAUUGG
rnacentral:lncRNA from 1 species